AUUGAACGCUGGCGGCAUGCCUUACACAUGCAAGUCGAACGGUAACAGGUCUUCGGAUGCUGACGAGUGGCGAACGGGUGAGUAAUACAUCGGAACGUGCCCGAGAGUGGGGGAUAACGAGGCGAAAGCUUUGCUAAUACCGCAUACGAUCUCAGGAUGAAAGCAGGGGACCGCAAGGCCUUGCGCUCACGGAGCGGCCGAUGGCAGAUUAGGUAGUUGGUGGGAUAAAAGCUUACCAAGCCGACGAUCUGUAGCUGGUCUGAGAGGACAACCAGCCACACUGGGACUGAGACACGGCCCAGACUCCUACGGGAGGCAGCGGUGGGGAAUUUUGGACAAUGGGCGCAAGCCUGAUCCAGCCAUGCCGCGUGCAGGAUGAAGGCCUUCGGGUUGUAAACUGCUUCUGUACGGAACGAAAAGACUCCUUCUAAUAAAGGGGGUCCAUGACGGUACCGUAAGAAUAAGCACCGGCUAACUACGUGCCAGCAGCCGCGGUAAAAC
rnacentral:rRNA from 1 species